GUCAGCUCGUGUCGUGAGAUGUUGGGUUAAGUCCCGCAACGAGCGCAACCCUCGCCAUUAGUUGCCAUCAUUUAGUUGGGAACUCUAAUGGGACUGCCGGUGCUAAGCCGGAGGAAGGUGGGGAUGACGUCAAGUCCUCAUGGCCCUUACAGGGUGGGCUACACACGUGCUACAAUGGCGACUACAGAGGGUUAAUCCUUAAAAGUCGUCUCAGUUCGGAUUGUCCUCUGCAACUCGAGGGCAUGAAGUUGGAAUCGCUAGUAAUCGCGGAUCAGCAUGCCGCGGUGAAUACGUUCCCGGGCCUUGUACACACCGCCCGUCACACCAUGGGAGUUGGUUCUACCCGAAGGCGCUGCGCUGACCGCAAGGAGGCAGGCGACCACGGUAGGGUCAGCGACUGGGGUGAAGUCGUAACAAGGUAGCCGUAGGGGAACCUGCGGCUGGAUCA
rnacentral:rRNA from 1 species